AACGCAUCUUGCGCUCCUUGGUAUUCCAUGGAGCAUGCCUGUUUGAGUGUCACGUAAACCCUCACCCUUGCGAUGUAAAAAUUGCACUUGGUGGACUUGGACUGUGCCGUAAUUGGCUCGUCCUGAAAUGCAUUAGCUUGCGCUUUUUAGAGUGCUCGGCAUGGUGUGAUAAUUAUCUGCGCCGUCGCCUUAGGCCUCUUCUGUUGGUGCUGCUUCUAAUCGUCCCUCGAGGACACUUUACUUUAUGCUUUGGCCUCAAAUCAGGUAGGACUACCCGCUGAACUUAA
rnacentral:misc_RNA from 1 species